CUCCAACUGAAUCUCUCCAAACAUCUGAACCCACUAUAUCUGAUGUAGGCAAUCUAUUGAGUNNNNNNNNNNGUUAGUAAUGAGAAUUCUAACAGAAAUCCAAACCCCAGCAGAAGAUUACCCAGUUGACGUCACACGCAAGUCACAAGACCUGAUCCCUAAAGUUAUGGAGGUCUUCUGUGCAUGGUCAGGCUGCUCUGAGACACAAGCCUAUCCAGAGAACUUGAGGAUUCAUAAAGUCUACAGAGUCGUCUAUAAAAAUCUGUUGGAGGAGUUUGGCUCUGAGAAAAUCCUCCAACAGGCCGUGUCGACUCAGGACUCUUCAUUUGAUAGGAUUCUUGUCAAGUCUUUGAGUGAAGCGCUUCUCCACAGAUGUAAUGAGGCAUUGAGGGCAGCCUCAAGAACAUCAGUCAAAACCACCGGGCCUAAGGCUCUUCCACUGGCUGAGGAUGUGAGGGCUAGCAGCGGGAAACUAUCUUUUCUACAAAGGCUGGUCAGGCUGACAAGCAACUUAAAGCUAUUCAAGAAGGGGAACAAGAAGGAUUCCCACCGCUCUGAAUCAGAACAAGUACAGACCACUGCUGAAGAUGGCAUGCGUAAGUUCACACAACAGGACAACAGUCUGUUUGAGAUAUUGGUGUACAAAUAAAUGCCACUUCAAAAUAACCUUACAAAGGUUAUAUACGCAAUUAGUAGUCAUCUCUUAUGUAAAAGUAAUUAUAUUCUCCAAAACUCAAGCUGUUGGUUCUCAUUUAUCAGUGUCAGUUAUGUUGAGUUGUAACAUACAUUACAUAAUUUCUGAAUUAAAGUGCAUGUAAACGCUCUCUCUCUCUUCUGUAGUGCCCAGCAUAGCGCCACAUGCUGCCAUGUCUGCACUGCCAAAGGAUCUCCCCGCCAGCUCCCAACAGGAGACGCCUCACAAACGUCCACUUCUCGUCAGGAUGUUUUCUGCCAUCUCCAAAGGCCUGUUCAAGCCCUUCAAACAGUCCUUAAAGACCAAGUAACUUCAGACAAUUUAUUAAACGUCAUUCAUUGCAUUAAAUUGGCCUUUGUCUUCUUAUGUGCUCCCGUUAACAGACCAGAUUACAAUACUGGUCUUUUAAAUGUUAGCAGUGAUAGCAACAUUAACUAUAGUGGUGUGUGUAUAGCCCUUCUACACAGUCUGACUCUUCUGACACUGUGUGACAUGCCCUCUGAUCCAGUGAUCUAGGAUCUUCUGAGUGGCUUUAGGCCUGAAUCUCUGCCCUCCGGCCCAAAUAAAUGUUUUCUCUUCUGAUAUAUCUGCCACUGUCAGCAGCCAGCAGGGGAAAACAGACAGCGCUGUUGAGAGCUUUCUUUUCUCCCUCAUGACUAAAACACUGAGAAAGGCUUUUAUCUAUUGCAGCAUAUUCCAUCUUUUGAUUUAACCUAUUAUACGGUAG
rnacentral:lncRNA from 13 species